UGCUGUCACUUAUAGAUGGAUCCGCGCUGCAUUAGCUAGUUGGUAAGGUAACGGCUUACCAAGGCAACGAUGCAUAGCCGACCUGAGAGGGUGAUCGGCCACACUGGAACUGAGACACGGUCCAGACUCCUACGGGAGGCAGCAGUAGGGAAUCUUCCGCAAUGGGCGAAAGCCUGACGGAGCAACGCCGCGUGAGUGAUGAAGGUCUUCGGAUCGUAAAACUCUGUUAUUAGGGAAGAACAUAUGUGUAAGUAACUGUGCACAUCUUGACGGUACCUAAUCAGAAAGCCACGGCUAACUACGUGCCAGCAGCCGCGGUAAUACGUAGGUGGCAAGCGUUAUCCGGAAUUAUUGGGCGUAAAGCGCGCGUAGGCGGUUUUUUAAGUCUGAUGUGAAAGCCCACGGCUCAACCGUGGAGGGUCAUUGGAAACUGGAAAACUUGAGUGCAGAAGAGGAAAGUGGAAUUCCAUGUGUAGCGGUGAAAUGCGCAGAGAUAUGGAGGAACACCAGUGGCGAAGGCGACUUUCUGGUCUGUAACUGACGCUGAUGUGCGAAAGCGUGGGGAUCAAACAGGAUUAGAUACCCUGGUAGUCCACGCCGUAAACGAUGAGUGCUAAGUGUUAGGGGGUUUCCGCCCCUUAGUGCUGCAGCUAACGCAUUAAGCACUCCGCCUGGGGAGUACGACCGCAAGGUUGAAACUCAAAGGAAUUGACGGGGACCCGCACAAGCGGUGGAGCAUGUGGUUUAAUUCGAAGCAACGCGAAGAACCUUACCAAAUCUUGACAUCCUUUGACAACUCUAGAGAUAGAGCCUUCCCCUUCGGGGGACAAAGUGACAGGUGGUGCAUGGUUGUCGUCAGCUCGUGUCGUGAGAUGUUGGGUUAAGUCCCGCAACGAGCGCAACCCUUAAGCUUAGUUGCCAUCAUUAAGUUGGGCACUCUAAGUUGACUGCCGGUGACAAACCGGAGGAAGGUGGGGAUGACGUCAAAUCAUCAUGCCCCUUAUGAUUUGGGCUACACACGUGCUACAAUGGACAAUACAAAGGGCAGCGAAACCGCGAGGUCAAGCAAAUCCCAUAAAGUUGUUCUCAGUUCGGAUUGUAGUCUGCAACUCGACUACAUGAAGCUGGAAUCGCUAGUAAUCGUAGAUCAGCAUGCUACGGUGAAUACGUUCCCGGGUCUUGUACACACCGCCCGUCACACCACGAGAGUUUGUAACACCCGAAGCCGGUGGAGUAACCUUUUAGGAGCUAGCCGUCGAAGGUGGGACAAAUGAUUGGGGUGAAGUCGUAACAAGGUAGCCGUAUCGGAAGGUGCGGCUGGAUCACCUCCUUU
rnacentral:rRNA from 1 species